rfam:Picea glauca, whole genome shotgun sequence.
GGAGGUUACGGGGGGCUCCCUUCAGUCCAACGAAGGGCCGUGUGGGGAUGAUUCAACUGCUGGUUCAUGGAUUCUAUUAUCUUGUACUGUUCAAGGAUCUUUUUUCGUGGCAAGAUAAUGGUGUGCAUGACACAGGAGUUGUAUUGCCACUACGCUGUUUUUACUUGGAUUGAAGAGAGCUCCCAAGAGGUCUCCU